CUUACAUGUGUUUGGCGUCCGUGACCAUCCCCAUCCGCCGCCCGCCCUCCGCUCUCUCCUCCUCCCACUUCCCUUCCCGUCCCCAUCCGCCGCCGCGCCCCGGCUCUCUCAUCCUCGCCCCGCCCAGCAUGCCGGCGCGCAGCGGCCUCCUCCUCCACCGGCACCGGAUCCGCCACCGCCACGCCUCCUUCUCCUUCUCCCCCGACGCGCUCCUCCUCGCAUCCAACGCCCACCCCUCCCUCAUCUGCUUCUCUCCCCCAAGUUCUCCCAAACCCUAGCUUUCAAAUCCUUCAAAUUCGGUGGUCUCCGGCCAAGCUAGGAGCCAAUCCUUGCGGCCACCUCGAAGCGGGCAUCGGCAUCCAUGGCUCGGGCGCUGGUGCGGCCCCUGGCGGCCUGCAUCGACGCAACACCGGUUUAUCUGUGCCGCGUGCCACUGUGCCCGCCUCGCUCGGCCGGACCACCAGCGACAUCAAGGCAACCCAAUCUCCAGGUGCCUCACCAACUCUUCUAGCUCCCCUCUCCCAUCUCCUCCUCAGCCUCCUCCCCUUCCCCUUCUCCUCCUCCCCAUUUUUCUUGCUAGGGUUUGAGUUUGACAGCAGAGCAGCUGCUCCGCCCCGUCCUCAAUUCCAACGACCGCGGUUCAUCCAGGUUGUAUGCAUGCUUAAUUAAGAGCUCCAGCAGCUAGGGAUUGAAAAGGGAACAGAAAGUUACAUUAGAUUGAGGGGCUGACCUUCAAGCCUGAUCAGCUAACAGUGACUACGUGGACCUGUCCAAUAUUCAUUUUUCUUGGCACAAUUGUUGAUCUGAAUUAAUACAUGUGGCUCUGGUGAAGAGGAGCACUGCAUCGAUAAUCAGAAGAGUAAUCUUCAGAAAGCUGUCGUGCAAGCUGUCUCCAAUGUUCUCAAACAUAUGUGGCCUCAGUUUCAAUUCUCUCUUGUACUAGGUAGAGAUAUCUUUGAACUUAGUGAUUUCCAGUUUUGUAUGGAAAUUGAACAUUUUUGGAUGUAACUGUGUAUUGAUGUAAUAAAGGAAUAGAAGAAAUUUUGAUUUC